AUGCCAAGAGGAGAGCGAAGAUGGCCACAGAGAGUGGCCUCCUCAGAGUCUUUACCCUGUCCAGGUGUAAGCCCGGAUGCGUCACUCACUGCCUGCCCGUUUCCCCUCGACUGUGCUAUGUCUAGUCUCCUAACCUGCUGGGGGCCCUCAGGAGAUAGAAGCCAGCCUCCCGGCCCUUCAAAAGGGACGCUCUUCCCCAAAUCAGGCACUCAGAGGGAGCGAUGGGCUCAUUCCUUCCACUCUGCAAUCAACUUGGCUGGGCGAAGUGUCGAUCCAGAUCUCAGGGAGUCAAACCUUUACAGAACAACAGCUAAUGAAAGAAGACCUUAGUGUUUCUGCAGGAACGUGCUCCGUGGAAAAAAAUACAAAACCAAAUGUCAUUUCAUUUUCUUUUAUUUCGUCUGUAACAAGAGACCUAUUCUUUACCUAUGUCUUGAGGAAAGAAAAGAAACUAAAGGCACAGUGGCCCGUAAUCAUGUUUCUGCCACUGCUCUAUCAUGGCCAUCGUAUGCUUUCAUGAAGAAAUUAAUCUAAAUUUCUCCAGUUCUGGGUUUGCACCUCUUUGUGGGGAAAGAGUUGUGGAAUAGACUUAAUGGGGAUAGUCUACUUUUUUAUGGAAACCUAGCUCUUUAUUAAGGAGGCACUUUUUUUGAAGUCGAGCCCUGAACAUUAACGUACCACAAAAUGCCAAAAGGAAUUCCCCAGCUUCCUUCCCAAGGUGCUGCAGUAAUUGGGUAAUGAAUGAUUGGGAGGGACUGAGACCCUCCUGGAAGUAGAGGUAUACAUAUUCUUUUUUUUUUCCACCUGAAAAAGUUACAGUGUUGAACGGCUCCUUUCCAGUGCUCGCACGCCCUUUUCUUUAGAACCUCCUCGGGCCUCAUGGCCAACAAGGCGGUGGGCUUGAGUGGGUAUGUGACCGCAGUGAGACUGGCAAAAUAAAGAGUCCUAUUGGAGUACUCAGUGAAUCAAGUUGCUCAGUUUCCAAGGCUUAACCUUGUCCCAUUCAUUUUCAGUGGAUUCCAGAUUGGGUGAAGGAGCGGUGGUGUGCCUUUGAAAGGGGAAAAAAAAAAAAAAGCAAGCCUGUCUAGGGACAGAAGUUUAAACAGAACAUUGCACAAAAAUUGACAAGGAAAGCUUAGCUAAAACCCAAGUCCCCUGCUGCAGUAAACUAACCUCGCCAGCUCAGUAAUAAUGUUUCAAGUUCCUCUGUGCUUCGUCUCUCAAGUGACAUGUUCCCAUUUUAAAAUACACAGGUUGUAUAAUCUUUUUAGGGCAUACAGUCAGUGCAAUAAGGAAGGGUAGUAAGUGAACAUAUCUAAAAAGACUUUCUCAGAUGGCAUUAUUAAACCAUGAUUUUGUUGUCUAAGUUAAACGCUUGAGGCUCAACUAACGCAAAUGUUUUUGCUUUCAGCUGAGAGCAUGUUUGUUGAAUUGUUAGUCUCUUUUAGGCUUUGUGUACCCCUGAAAACAGGUUGAUUUUCAUAUUUACUGGUGCCAGUUCCAUGUAACUCCAAGUGUCAUGUAAUUUUGCGUGUUUACAUUUUGGGUUUGAAUUUCUGAUCGGUUCCAUCAGUCACUGCAACUCUGCCGUUGCCCGGGGGCCAAGUUUUCCAACGGCCCCGGAGUUCCCAAAUGCAAAGCAAGCAGAGCCGAUCUUGGUCAAGCACGCCAUCCUUCCAGAUCCCUUCGUGGCUGUUUUGUGGUUUUUUUCCAGUUAUUUAUUAUUGUGAAUAACUCACUUUUUCUUACAUUCUGUUGUAAAUAAACUACCGAGCUGUCUUUCCAAGCGUGGCUCCUCCUUUCUUCAGCUGACCGGCAAGGCGGGGGCACUAGGGAAACCGGGGGCUCGGACUUGGACCUGGGGGUCUUCCCCUAGGUCUAGACACCCUUUCAUCCCAACGUCCGCACGAUCUGCGGGGCCCCGUCCUAAAGGUGGUCUCCGUUAAGCGCUUACAAUGGGCCGAGCACCUUAAUGGGCGCUGGGGUAGGUUCAAGACCCUCAGGUUGGACAGAGCCCCCGUCCCACAUGAGGCCCACGACCUAAGCAGGAAGAAGGUCAGGUAUUACUAGUUAACAUCAACAUUUCCUUUGAGCCGUUUUUGCAAUGAUCGGCGUUUGGCAAUCAAACUUAAAAUAUAAGCUCUUCAGUAGAGAGUACUUACAAAUCCUCCAGCCUUGCUUAUGCACACCAAUCUGAACUCAUCCACCAGAUCAAUCGAUGGUAUUUACUGUGUGUUUACUGUGUGCAGAGCACCGGACUAAGUGUUGGUGUGAACACAGGUUCAUCAGGUUGGACACAGUCCCUGUCUCACACAGGGCUCACAGUCUUAAUCCCCAUUUGACAGAUGAGGUCACUGAGGCACAGAGAAGUGAAGUGACUUGCCCGGGGUCUCACAGCAGACAAGUGGAGGAGGUGGGAUUCGAACCCACGUCCUUCUGACUCUCAGGCCCAUGUUCUUUUCACUAGGAAAGACUGCAGAACUUGCCUUUUAGCAUCCUCAGAGCACGACCUGAGUGUUGAGCAGUUUUCCUCUUACUCAGUGUUUUCUUAGUCUCUGUGAUCUCCCCAUAGAACUGUCUGUCCCACUCGGUUCAUUAGUAACUUGCACUCACACCGGAGUCAUCGACAACUCCUCUUUAUCGAGCUCUUACACUCUGCCCUCUAAACAGAGUAAGUUAAGGCAGGCAGCUUUGCCCAAAGUUACUGAUCAUUUUCAAAUUGGAUCUUAACCUUGGAAUGCAAUCGCUGACUAAAUCCUCCCCUCAGUCCUCUGAUAGGAUCAUUUAGAUAGGACCCGGACAAUUCUGGAUUUUAACAGAGUCCCGAAGAACUCUAAGAACAAAUGGUUCAUAAUUAAACGUCUGCAUUUAAUGCCUAAGCUGGCAGGGUUGGAGGAACUUUUGCUGAAUAAUUCCAGAGUGGGAAGGAGAAUUAUCUGAACAUCAGCAGAUGCUUUUAAUUCAAUUAACAUGGAUCAGAACUAAGCACCUCAUUACUCCAGGAUGGCUUAACAAAUGGGUCAAAGCACAAUGCUGCCUGCUACUAUUGAGAUCUCAGAGACCCACCGUUCUGUGAUGGGAAGCUGCAGCCAUUCUCCCUUCCUGCCUCCUCACAGUAGGUACCUGAUGAGAGAGUGUGGAUGGCUCACUGGGAACCAGCACCCCUACUGCAAAACAACCCUGCUAAGGUAGGCUGCAAAUCCUCCCUUCUUAAUGAUUGUGCUUAAGCCUUGUUCUCCCAAGUGAUAAAGAGCCAUAAAAGGUGUGUGGAUAAAAGGUACAAAUGGGCAAAAAAAAAAAAAAAUCCCUUCCAAAGACACUCAGGGACAGGGACAGCCUCAACACUAACAGUGCCAUCUUCAAACGAAGGACAGUUCAGCCUCUAUUUUUUUCCCCCCUUAAAAGAGGAUCUGAAGAUAAAGAUUAAAUGCCCUCCUGGGAUUUGGGAACAACAAGAAUUCCUUGACUCAACAUUUCACUUAUACGGUUGUAGUUUAACCUGCAAUUCCAGGAAUGAUUCGGAGCCACUGCUCCAACAACGAGAGCCUUUAGCUGCCUGCAGAGCGUGCCUGCGGAGCCACGUGAGAAAAGCCCAAGAAAUCCAGAAAGGAAAACAGGUCCUGUAUGUUCUGACAUAUGAUAAGGAGCCCUGGAUAGAGAGCUCAACGUCAUGUGUUGAUCUGGAACGUCGCUUUUGCUAAAUUUUAUUCAAAGGGCCUGUUGAUUAUCUCACAAUUACCAUUUUCAUAUUCCUUAUCGCUAAUUAAUAUCAUUUUGGCCUAAUGGAAAGGGCAGAUCCCUGGGAGUCAGAGAACCUGGCUUCUAAUCCUACCUCUGCCGAGUGUUUGCUGCGUGACCUUAGGCAAGGCACUUAACUUCUCUGUGCCUCGGUUACCUCAUCUGUAAAAUGGGGAUUAAAGCCUCCUCCUUCCAGUUUUAAUUUAGAGCUCCAUUUGGGACAGGGACUGAGUCCAACCUGAUAAACUUGUAUCCUGCCCCGUGGGGGCCUGACACAGACUAGAAACACGUUCACACCCUCAGCUGGAAACUCAUCAGGGCCAUGGUUCCCACCACGCCCAUAAAAUAAUAAUAAUAAUGGCAUUUGUUAGGUGCUUACUAUGCGCCAAACACUGUUCUAAGCACGGGGGCGAGGAGGAUGGGUAUACGAGGUGAUCUGGUUUCUCACGUGGGGCUUACAGUCUUAAUCCCCAUUUUAAUAAUAAUAAUAAUGUUGAUAUUCAAUAAUAAUGUUGGCAUUCGUUAAGCGCUUACUAUGUGCAGAGCACUGUUCUAAGCGCUGGGGUAGAUACAGGGUCAUCAGGUUGUCCCACAUGGGGCUCACAGUCUUCAUCCCCAUUUUACAGAUGAGGUCACUGAGGCACAGAGAAGUUAAGUGACUUGUCCACAGUCACACAGCUGACAAGUGGUGGAGUUGGGAUUAGAACCCACGUCCUCUGACUCCGAAGCCCAGGCUCUUUCCACUGAGCCACGCUGCUUCCCUACUUAAUUUACUCUGCUGCUUAAUUUACUGUGAUUAACUUGUGCCAAGCACUGUUCUAAGCAAGGGGGUCAUCAGGUUGUCCCACGUGGGGCUCACCGCCUUCAUCCCCAUUUUACAGAUGAGGGAACAGAGGCACAGAGAAGUUAGGUGACUUACCCAAGGUCACACAGCUGAGAAGCGGCGGAGCGGGAUUAGAACCCACGUCCUCUGACUCCCCAGCCCGGGCUCUUUCCACCGAGCCACGCUGCUUCCCUCCUUAAUUUUCUGGGCUGCUUAAUCUACUGAGAUUAAGUGGUCUCGUUUCUGUCCGUCUGUCUCCCCCGAUGAGACUCAGAGCCCGGUCUCUGUUGUCGAAUGGUCCCUUCCGAGCGCUUAGUCCAGUGCUCUGCACCUAGUAAGCGUUCAAUCACUCCUCCCGACCGCUAGGGGGCGGCCGCCG
rnacentral:lncRNA from 1 species